UACGUAGGGUGCGAGCGUUAAUCGGAAUACUGGGCGUAAAGGGUGCGCAGGCGGUUCUGCAAGUCAGGCGUGAAAGCCCGGGCUCACCUGGGAAUGGCAAUGGAUACUGGCGAGCUAGAGUGUGUCAGAGGAUGGUGGAAUUCCCGGUGUAGCGGUGAAAUGCGUAGAGAUCGGGAGGAACACCGGUGGCGAAGGCGGCAUCCUGGACCGGCAUUGACGCUGAGGCGCGGAAAGCCAGGGGAGGCAAACAGGAUA
rnacentral:rRNA from 1 species